AUGGAUGUUGAUCUCACUAUGGAUGUGGUGGCCCUUACCACUGCAUAUCAGAUGUGGGAGCACCUUCGCCAUCGCUAUGAGUCUACAGGGGAUGCCAUGUAUCUCUUUGUUGUUCGUCAAGAGCAACAACUACAACAGGGAAAUGCUAUUGUGGAUGAUUUCUACAAGGAGAUGUCAGCAGUGUGGCGCCAAUUGGACUCUCUGGGAGCUGAUGUUUGUCGCAGAUGUCAGUGUUGUGUGCGGCGACAAACUAAGCUGGAGGUUCGUCGCCUCCAUGACUUCCUCACUUGCCUCCGGCCAGAGUUCAAGCAGAGUCAUGCUCAGCUAUUGGGACGCCAUCCUUGGCUCUCUACUCUAGAGGCUCUUGUUGAGGUGCGAUCUGAGGAGCUGCAUCUACGAAGCACGAGCUUGUUGCCAUCCUCUUCAGCAGUCAUGGCUGCCCGCGUUCCACCACCGCUGCCUGGUGUGCCCUCUUCUACACAAGUGGCAGCAAUCUCCGCUAGUGCUUUCUGCAACUACUGCAAGCAGGAUGGUCACAUGAUCACGGAGUGCAUCAAGAGGAGGAAACAGGGUCACCGAGGUGGCCGUCCUCAAAAGGACUCGGGAUGGUCCUCUAAUUCUCGUGAGGGCUCCCUUGAGAAGGUUCACCACGAGAUGCUCACCUUGCUGCGCCGCCUUACUGCUUCUGCGCCAUCCUCAUGUUCUGCUGGUUCUGCUGGUCAGACAUCUGGUCCACCACCGCACUCUUCGUCAAGUACAUCUUUGCCCUGGAUUCUUGAUUCUGGGGCCUCCUUCCACAUGACACCACCUAGAGAUCACAUUUGUGUUGUCAACUUUGUGCCUUCUCCACUUACGGUUCAGACUGCAGAUGGCACUUCUCUUCCUAUUGCUGCAAGAGGGACUCUAUCCACGUGUUCUUUUCAUGUCCCUACCGUUUCUCAUGUUCCUAAACUGACUAUGCAACUUCUAUCUACUGGUGAACUUACUGACUUGGGUUGUCGUGUUAUCCUGGAUUCUGACUCUUGUUAUGUUCAGGAUCGUCGUACGGGGACUCUGGUUGUCUUGUUUGGUUAG
rnacentral:rRNA from 1 species